GACGCAGGAUGCAAGCGUUAUCCGGAUUCAUUGGGUUUAAAGGGUGCGUAGGCGGUCUUGUAAGUCAGUGGUGAAAUCUCUCAGCUUAACUGAGAAACUGCCAUUGAUACUGCAGGUCUAGAGUACAGAUGAUGUGGGCGGAAUAUGACAUGUAGUGGUGAAAUACUUAGAUAUGUCAUAGAACACCGAUUGCGAAGGCAGCUCACAAAACUGUAACUGACGCUGAGGCACGAAAGUGCGGGGAUCAAACAGG
rnacentral:rRNA from 1 species